AUGGCACCUGGUACCAGGAACUGGGCAUUUGGCACUGGGAACAGGGCAUCCUGUACUGGACACUGGGAGCUGGGAAUGGAGCAUCCUAUAAGAGUUGUCCAAUACCAGGAACCAAACACUAGGAAUCCUGCACUGGGCACUGGGCACCUGGAACUGGGCACUGAGCACCUGGAACUGGGCACUGAGCACCUGGAACUGGGCACUGAGCACCUGGAACUGGGCACUGGGCACCUGGAACUGGGCACUGGGCACCUGGAACUGGGUACUGGGCACUUGGAACUGGGUACUGGGCACUUGGAACUGGGCACCUGGAACUGGGCACCCUGUGCUUGCACUGGGAACUGGGCAGCCACGCUGGGCACUGGGAUUCAGGAACUGGGCAGCCACGCUGGGCACUGGGAUUCAGGAACUGGGCAGCAGGAUCUCUGCACCAGGAACUGGGCAGGCAGCACCAGGCACCCCAGUCUGCCCGCUGGGAACCCUGUGCCUGUUACUGGGAGCCAGUUAUUGGGUGCCCCAUCCUGGAUUCCAGCUGUCCCAGCCGCAGUGGACACUGGUGGGAACAGACCAGUAAAUGGAGAGCCUGGACUGGGAAUUAGUUGCCACCAUUACCCCAGACCAGGCAGGAGGUACUGGGAACCCCAGAGGGGGACUGGGCAUCACAUGCUGGGCACUGGGAUACCCUGCACUGGGAGAUGGGCAGGGUGCACUGGGAGCCAGGUGCCCCUUACUGGGAGCUUGGCAGUGUCCAGUGGGCUCUCAGCACUGGGACUGGGACCAGUCGUGGUGCAUCUGAAUGGGUCUGGGUGCCCAGUAGGGCACAGCUGGAUGGAACUGGGCACCAGUACGGCAUGGCCUGAUAGGACUGGGGAUGGACUGGACACCCAGUUUGGCACAGUUGGCCAGGUCACCAUCACCACUGGCUCAGUGGCCACCAGUCCCCCCAGAACAGAGCCCAGGACACUGGCCAGGCACAGCCAGUGGAGCCAUGACUGUAUGGGAGCCAGGGGGUCCCAAGGGUGUCACAUCCUGUGA
rnacentral:lncRNA from 1 species